rnacentral:lncRNA from 1 species
CGCGCGCGCGCGCACACACACACUCCAUCCGCGCCGAGUUGCUUCCGGGAAAACAAGCCCAGAAGGCGGCGGACACUCGCAUAAAGUCACGCAGUAGUACUCGGAGCCCGGGGUAGAACCUGGACUUCAAAUCUCUGCACUCCCGGCCGGGUGGUGGGCGCAUAUCCUGGGUAGCCUCUAGGAAGCGCUAGACACAUAUUCCUAUCAGGCGAAGGCCGCCUUUCCUGGCCUCCCCCACAGGCCCGCCAGCGAUUCGUCCUUACAAGGCUAGCCUCCACGGGCUGCCCUCUGUGUAAAUAAAGCCACAGACUUCCGCCCACAGGUCGCCGCAGGUCCCGCCCGCAGCGCCGGGCCGCGGGGGAGGCGGGAACUGGUGCUACGGCCGCUACGCAGGCCUCGGGAGGCUCGGAGCCCGCCACGCCCCAGCCCUCUCGCAGGGCCGGGGAGCCACGGGGCCAAAAGGAGGAGCAGGUGGAAGAAAUCCAGGCUCAGACCGUCGGAGUCCCCACCCAUGAGCACCCUUCUCCACUGAUCACUCAGAACAUGGUAGGCCCUAGAGAGACAGCAGCCCGAAUCUUCCCAGAAACCCUGCAGGAGAUUCCUUCUUCCCAUUUUAUAGAAGGGAGGCUGAGGCUCGGCACGUUGAAAUGGCUUGACCAAGGUCCCACAGGCAAAAAAAUGGUACAGCAAGAUAUUGUAACCCAAUAUCUGGCUGCAAAACCCAGUCUCUCCCCAACCCACCUAUCGUCACCGAGAUUGUAAAACUUCUAACCGGGAAGAAUCAAAUACAUGCACAACGGGUUACAGGUUAACAGACAGAUGGGAGCGGAAAGGGACAUUCCAGCGCUUCCCUGGGCGUGUCGCACAGGGCAACUCCAACCACAGGCGAAUUUUCCUGGGUGACAGUUAAACUCCUUUUUGCAUGAAAAAAUACAGAUUCUUAUUAAAACAAUAAUCGAUUAGACUAUAAAACUCUCAAAGUUAUUUCGGAUCAAAAUUAUUUUCGGCUGUUUCCACACCUUUUUUUCUCGAUUGUGCAGAAAUUCUUCACACCGUCUGCACAGAUGGGCAAACUGAGACCCGGACGAGUCCCAUUGAGAGAGAGAGGCAGAGCCGGGGUUGGGAGAAGACUGAGAUUUCUGGGAUCCGGCUUGGGGUGUUUCCGCUGGGUGGGGGCGCCGGUUUGCGAAGAGCUUUCCUCGGACAGCUACUGCUGAUUUUUGUCGCUCAGCCAGCCAAGUGGGGGCGAUUCUGAGUAAUCGCAGGCAAUCAGCGCGGCUGGGGUUAAAAGCGAAAGGGACUCGCGGGCGAACGGCCGGGGAGGGCGGCGGGCACAGAGCCCAGACGCCGGCAAAGGCGGGGCGCCGCCGGGGUUCCCUCGGUGCGAGCGCGCGCGGCACUUCCUGCUUUUGCUCCUCCCUGCGGU